UACGGAGGGUGCAAGCGUUAUCCGGAUUCACUGGGUUUAAAGGGUGCGUAGGUGGGUUGGUAAGUCAGUGGUGAAAUCUCCGUGCUUAACACGGAAACUGCCAUUGAUACUAUGUUUCUUGAAUUUUCUGGAGGUUAGCGGAAUAUGUCAUGUAGCGGUGAAAUGCUUAGAUAUGACAUAGAACACCAAUUGCGAAGGCAGCUGGCUACACAAAUAUUGACACUGAGGCACGAAAGCGUGGGGAUCAAACAGG
rnacentral:rRNA from 1 species